rnacentral:rRNA from 1 species
UAGUAACGGCGAGUGAAGAGGGAAAAGCUCAAAUUUUGAAUCUGGUGUCUUUGACCCCCGAGUUGUAAUCUAGAGAAGUGUUUUCCGUGUCGGACCGUGUACAAGUUCCCUGGAACGGGGCGUCAUAGAGGGUGAGAAUCCCGUAUAUGCCACGGACUACCGAUACUCUGUGAUACACUCUCAACGAGUCGAGUUGUUUGGGAAUGCAGCUCAAAAUGGGUGGUAAAUUCCAUCUAAAGCUAAAUAUUGGCGAGAGACCGAUAGCGAACAAGUGCCGUGAGGGAAAGAUGAAAAGCACUUUGGAAAGAGAGUGAAACAGUACGUGAAAUUGUUGAAAGGGAAGCGUUUGAAGUCAGUCGCAUCUGUUGGGAUUCAGCCUGGCUUCUGCCUGGUGUAUUUCCUUUCCGAUGGGUCAGCAUCAGUUUUGACCAAGGGAAAAAGACAUUUGGAAUGUGGCUGUCUUCGGGCAGUGUUAUAGCCUUGUGUUGUAUGUCUUGGUUGGGACUGAGGAACGCAGCGCGCCAUUUUGGCCGGGGGUCGCUCCUCUCGACACGCGCUUAGGA